GAUAAACGCUAGCGGCAGGCUUAACACAUGCAAGUCGAGGGGCAGCAUAGAUUGUAGCAAUACAAUUGGUGGCGACCGGCGCACGGGUGCGUAACGCGUAUGCAACCUACCCGUCACAGGGGGAUAAUCCGGAGAAAUCUGGUCUAAUACCCCAUAACAUAUGGAUCGGCAUCGGUUCAUGUUGAAAUUUUCGGAGGUGACGGAUGGUCAUGCGUAGCAUUAGCUUGUUGGUGAGGUAACGGCUCACCAAGGCGACGAUGCUUAGGGGGACUGAGAGGUUUUCCCCCCACACUGGUACUGAGACACGGACCAGACUCCUACGGGAGGCAGCAGUGAGGAAUAUUGGUCAAUGGGCGCAAGCCUGAACCAGCCAUGCCGCGUGAAGGAUGACGGCUCUAUGAGUUGUAAACUGCUUUUGUACGAGGGUAAAGUGGGUUACGUGUAACCUUUUGGAAGUAUCGUACGAAUAAGGAUCGGCUAACUCCGUGCCAGCCGCCGCCGUAA
rnacentral:rRNA from 1 species